AAGACUAUACUUUCAGGGAUCAUUUCUAUAGUUUGUUAUUAAUAGAUGGCUGCUAAAAAGUAGAAACCAUUAAAUAGU
rfam:Nomascus leucogenys chromosome 9, whole genome shotgun sequence.